GUACUUGCUUAAGCAACACAUAUACGAAAACUAGAAUAAUACCAAGAAGACUAGCAUAUCUCCUGCAAAUAAGGAUGACGUGCAAAUUUGUGAAAUGUUUUACAUAAAC
ensembl:snRNA U6 U6 spliceosomal RNA